UGAUCUUUGGGAGAUAUAUGUUCAUGUGAAUGUCACCUAAUUAGCAAUUAUACUCUAUAUAUUCAUGAGUUUUUUUAGUCUAAUUUGGUUCUUAUUCUAAGUAAUUUCUAUCGAUUUUUGUUGAGUGAUUGUUGGAAUCAGUUGAGCAAUAAUUGGAACUCAGCAGUUGAGCAUAAAUAAAUCNUUUUUUCAUUUUUAAUGAUCUUUGGGAGAUAUAUGUUCAUGUGAAUGUCACCUAAUUAGCAAUUAUACUCUAUAUAUUCAUGAGUUUUUUUAGUCUAAUUUGGUUCUUAUUCUAAGUAAUUUCUAUCGAUUUUUGUUGAGUGAUUGUUGGAAUCAGUUGAGCAAUAAUUGGAACUCAGCAGUUGAGCAUAAAUAAAUCAUAUAAUCUCAAACUAAUUUAUAUGAAACUCACCAGUUGAGCAACAAUUGGAUGUCAAAAUUGGAAUUGUAGGUAAUUAAAUGAGCUUCCAAUAGAAUUUUCUUCAACAGCCAAUAAGAAGAGGCAUCUGGUGAGUUUUACCCCAUAUAAAUACAUACACCAACUAAUCCUUUAACAAGGCGAAUAACAAAAACGAAUUCACAAAACCUGGGAAACUUGUAGCCGGCAUACAGAGAUGACAACACAAUCAGGUUGGCAGGAAAACCACGCCGAGGGGAGUGCAUGGAACUGAAAGAACCACAAAACCAAACCAAAUCGAUAGUUUUGGUUCGGUUUGAUCCACUUUUCAGCUCAAGUGUUUUGACUUUGGUUUGAGUAAUUCUCAAACCUUAAAUCAGUUUGUUAUUAAGUUGAAAAAGUGGAAACCAAAUCAAACCGAAAGUCGAAGUGAGGGCGUACAUGUAUUUAUUUUCAUAUAACAGUAAUGUGACAACACAAUCAGGGUUAUGGUGUUCUGCAUGGCCGACCAUGUCGAGUCCCUGAAAUCCCAACUCAAAUUGGGUAUCAUUUUGAUUUGCAGUAAUGUGUUAACUCAGAUCUCUUCUAAUGCAAUGUUCAUAAUUGCAAUUGCUCCAGUAUCAACCCUUCAUUUCUGAAUAAACUUCGGUAUUGUACCGAGGCUAUUAUAAAAUAAUUACUCUUCAAAGCGUUUUACUCGUAAGUGAUUCAACCAAUGCUCUCUCUAUCCUACACAGGGUUGAACAAGUUUUAUGAAAAGUGUUUAAUAAUAUAGUUAAUUACUGAUUGUUUAAGCC
rnacentral:lncRNA from 1 species